UACGUAGGGUGCAAGCGUUGUCCGGAAUUAUUGGGCGUAAAGAGCGUGUAGGCGGCCUGAAAGGUCAGCUGUGAAAACUCGAGGCUUAACCUCGAGACGUCGGUUGAAACCAUCUGGCUAGAGUCCGGAAGAGGAGUGUGGAAUUCCCGGUGUAGCGGUGAAAUGCGCAGAUAUCGGGAAGAACACCCGUGGCGAAGGCGGCACUCUGGGACGGUACCGACGCUGAGGAGCGAAAGCGUGGGGAGCGAACAGG
rnacentral:rRNA from 1 species